CCUGAAAUAGUCAUUCAGUUUUGAAGUGUCACAAUC
rnacentral:sRNA from 1 species